AAAUCCCCUCUGAGCAGAAGUUUGGAGCAGUGUUGGUGGGUCAGCAGUUUGAGGUCGGCAGUAGCUUGCAUAAAGCAAAACUCAUAAACAAGCCGGAUGUGACUGCUUUCAGAAAUGUAUUAGAACGUUGACUGAGCUGAAAUGGAACAACUUCCUUGGAGAAAAGUCAAAGAUUGCUAGAGUUUGAAGUUUUGAUGAUCACAUUCCAGUAGACUCAUGUCUCCACCCUGCCGGGUUUCUGCUUUUCCCAACGACAGCAGUAGAGUUCUGCCCUUUUAUCUUCCCUGAAACUUCAGAACUGAUUGAGUACGUGUGAUGUUUGUAAGCCGUUGUGUAACAUCCAAAUGGAGCAAUAUCUUCAAGCUGAGUACAAGACCUUGCAAGCUCAGUCAACAAUACCAAGAAGUUGACCUGGAUAAGAUAAUUUUGUCAGUUGGGGGUAGAUCCGGAAGACCUGGCAGCAUCUUCAUCCUUGGGGUGCAGGGGGCUGAGUGAGACAGGACAGAGAUUCCGUGGAGAGGACAGGCUAUCUUUAGACACAAAGCUUUGAACAAAACACAAAACCCCCAAACACUGAAAUUUUGGAAAUCAGAUGACUUCUGAUCAGUUGCUUGUUUUUCAGUCAUGCCUGUGUCUAAGUGAAUGCAAACUGUGGAAGUGAAAGUUAACAAAGAAAAUGGAUUGGCUGGCAAACUGCUACGAAUAUUCAUAGAGUACUUUGCUAUAUUGAAAUUAUUUCAGCUAGAAAAUAUAAUGGCUGCAAUUAUUUUGGAAAUAUGUUUGGCAGAGAAACUUGGAGUGGAAACACAAUAAAGUUAAUAUUCCUUUCG